UGUAGCCACCCAAUCAAGGGGGAUCUUAUAUUCAUUGGAAUCCCGGCUGACAAUGCUACUUUGCAGCUGUGCGAGGUUCGAGUUUGGGCGGUUCCCGUUGAACAAUGUUCUCCAGAUUUCGACGAGUGUAGCAGUGAUCCGUGUCAGAAUGGAGCUACAUGCGUGGACGGUGUCUUUGAAUUUUCGUGCACGUGUGCAGCCGGUUUCACUGGACCUCUCUGUGAAGAUGAUUUAGACGAGUGUAGCAGUGAUCCAUGUCAAAAUGGGGCUACAUGUGUGGAUGGUAUCAAUGAAUUUUCCUGCACGUGUGCUGCUGGUUUCCUUGGAUCUCUCUGUAAAGAUGAUAUUGACGAAUGUAGCAGUGAUCCGUGUCAGAAGGGUGCUACAUGCGUGGAUGGUAUCAAUGAAUUUUCUUGCGCAUGUGCUGCUGGUUUCACUGGACCUCUCUGUGCAGAUGAUUUGAACGAGUGCGACAGCAAUCCUUGCCGGAAUGGUGUCUGUAUUGAAGGUGU